AUGUUUGCUGUGUGGUGUUUGGUUUACAACCUGUUGUGUUGUAUGAACCUGCUUCGCACCUUGGUCAAUAUGCAUGUUAUCCGGUUUGCCUACACCAUAGAUCUACUGCUCCGUCACCAUUUCCCUGUUUCAGUAUGUGUAUUGUUUCUUCGUGUGAUUUGGUUUGGUGUCGUCGCCUGGAUGAUCUCUACUUCAAGGGUCACAGCGAUCAGCGGUGUCUUUGAAAUGCGUCUGUGCUAUGCCUGUAACUGUUGUAGCUUCCAGUCUGUAACAACUGAGCUGAACUGCAUAGCCGUCUGUAGUCCCUGCAUCUGGUCUGUUGAACUUUGUCUCCAAUACAGUCAUCGUCCCAUCUCCAAGCAUAUACGUCUAGUGCCUGUUGCCUUCGCUGUCGGUUGA
rnacentral:rRNA from 1 species